AUGAUGAUCCUGCAGUCACAAAGGCUGAAAAUGAAAGUUUUCGUGGUGUUUUGCCUGCUAGGACCACUCUGCGCUGCAGCUGAUCCAUGUCUCAAUACGCCUGUGGAAGUUGUGGUGUCAAACGGCAUAGGCCUCACGGGAGAUUUCCCUGAUGACCCAGAGCCAUACGUUGUGGUGAAUAUCGGCAAUCAAACUCGUACAACCCGGGUGAUUGAAUCAACGUCAAGCCCAGACUGGUGGGAAACAUUCCACUUUAACCCCGAUCGCGUCAGCACCAUGAAGAUAAACGUCUGGGAUGAGGACAGCGGACUCAGAGGAGACUACAACCUUCUGGGAACGUGCAAGGAGAAACUGUUGAAAAGUGAGAAACCACAGGAUGUGACUUGUUUUGUGAAGGAUGGUGGACUGGUCAAUCUGUUCUACACAUGUCAAUGAAUGCAAACUAGGCCAAGAUAAAGCUUCAGUUUCAGAAAAAGCAAAAACAUGACAUCUGAAAAAUAUGAUGCAUUUUUAUGUAGUUUUUUUAGUUGUAUUUUCAAAUUAUUGACAUGAAAUUCAAAUGGUAAGAGUAAAAUGUAAUCCUCUGUACAUUUAGAGCUUGGAGUUANCACGCACGCACGCACACACACACACACACACACACACACACACACACACACACACACACACACACACACAAGCGGUUUAAAAUUUGGCUAACCUUGUUUGAUUAUCUUGACCAACUAAUAAAGCUUAAAUAUCAACAAACUCUACUUUCCUUUUAUUCGUUUACAUAUCCGUGACACGGAUUUUCUGAAAGUAUGUUUUAAAGAGGCAGGGAGACGUAAUGAACCUCAGAUGAUCCAUUCAUUUCCAUUAGGACUAGUUUCCGUUCAUGACAAGGUCUUACUUGGACUCUACCAGUAAGACGUGCUUCUACUGGUUUAUAAAUCAACCAGUGACAUGGGGCUGGAAUCCAUGUCACACUACCUUCCUGUAUAUUCACUGAAAUACUUGGGAAGCAGUCAGCUGGUAGAACCAGGUCAGAACCAAACAGGGUUCAGCAGCCGUGCUGCACACAGAUGGAAUCACCUCCCAUGACCUAAAAUGUGCCCCAACAGUAACUUUUAAAUCCAAGUCGAAAACCUUCGUUAUUAUUGUAACGCCACGAUUGGCCUGGUUUAGAGCUCCUACAGGUCAACUUACCCUGGCUAUGACACAUCUGACUGGGUUUCCCCUGACAGGAGUGGGGGAGUCUGCACGUAGCCCCUUUAAUCAGACCUACUUCCUCACACCAGCUGGACUGCAGAGACAAUAAAACAUAAACUUUAACAUCUUUCCUCCAAGGUCCAUCACACAGGAACUCUUUUAAAAGAAACUCCUUUAUUCCCAGAAGAAAAGACGAUUUUAUAAUUAAAAAUAAUCAUUGAAUGAACUUUUGUCAUUGCUAAUUAUAAAUAAUGAAAUGUUUCAUUAAUCUGUGCUCAUUGAUUGUUUAGUAUGUUUACCUGACGAGGUUUGCACUCACAAGUCAAGUUAAGGUAACGCAUGACACGUACGUUAACCUUUUGUCCACUUUCAGUCUCCAUCACGGAGGGCGUGUCUCUGAGAUGCUUGGUAACGUCUUCAAACUAGUCAACCUGUGGUUGGUUAGUCAAUCAUAACAUCAGUCCAUUAAAACUAGCCAGCUCUGGGUUCCCCCUCAUGCAGUUCACCUUCAGUCAAAACCGCUCGAGCAGUUCGAGGGUUCCAGAGAAGAGCUCCAGACCGGCCAUGUGAGCGAAAGCCUCUCUAACCAGACGGAUUCUGAACCUGAAACCUUUCUCGCACCGGCGACGCUGAACAACAAGACGGUCUCCUGCAGAACAAAGAUGCCCAAUCAUCUUAUGAGCAAGCAGGAGAUCAUCUUUAUUUAUAUAGACGAUCACAGCUGUUGGUCCCAAGUAGUGGUAAGCAUAAUAAAUAUCUUAAAGCAGUUUAUUUAACCCAAUUUACCCUCUUUUAUCAUUAUACUGCACGUUCUUCACUGUAACUGCUCACCUUUGAACUUUGACUUUGUGAGUUGAAAUCUAAAUUGAACUUGUGUGUGUUUUACUUCCACUUUCACACUGUUCUUGCUGUUCUAACUGGAAAGCACACUGAACUGCCCGUGUGUGUGAAAUAUGAAUAAAGCUGCCUUGCCUUCAUUUGUGAAGGUCUCGUUUCUGAGCAGUUAUUGAGACGACAAACAGAAAACAGAUAAAAAAAACGUGAAAAGUGAAAAACUUUACAUACAAUACAAAUGUAAUAAAUAACAACAGUAGAAUUGGACUUGAAAUGAUAGAAAAAAGAGAAAUGUAGGUACUGAAAUCUUAAGUUUGGGGGAAAGACGUGAGGAGGGGGGUUGAAGGAAAAGGUAAUGAAAAGAUGAGGCAGCAGCAAAAACAGUGUAGGGAGGAAGAGACUGGAUGGAUGGAUGGAUGGGGUAAAAAACCGGUGAAGAAGCAGAAAAUACUCGAGGCAGGAUUACAGGGAAAAACAGUGAUGUAAGAAGUGGAGAAAAACCCAAAAUGACUGAAAAUGAACAAAAAACGAGAGACGAGUGAUGGAAAGGACUCUAAAAUAAAGAUCAUCUUAUUUAAAAAAGUACAAAUGAGCAUUUCAGAUUCAUAAAACGUUAGAAAACAUCAGGAAUGUGUGUAAAAUAAUUUUUUAAUUAAAAAAAUCCCAGCUCACAAAAGAGCGAAGAAAAGAGGAGGAUGGUGCACGUGAAAGACAAGAAAAGAAAAAGAGACGGGGAGCGUGAGGUACAUAGCAGGACUAAGUGGCCACGGUGCCGUCUGCCAAAUAUAAAAUCAAUAUACACCAUCUCAGACCGGCCUCCUACUGCUGAAGCCAUCACAAAUG
rnacentral:lncRNA from 1 species